GGCUCAGGAUGAACGCUAGCGGCAGGCUUAAUACAUGCAAGUCGUGGGGCAGCAUGAGUAGCAAUACUUGAUGGCGACCGGCAAACGGGUGAGGAACACGUACACAACCUUCCUUCAGCGGGGAAUAGCCCAGAGAAAUUUGGAUUAAUACCCCAUAAUAUAUUUGAUAAGGCAUCUUAUUAAUAUUAAAGCUUCGGCACUUGAUGAUGGGUGUGCGGCUGAUUAGAUAGUUGGCGGGGUAACGGCCCACCAAGUCUACGAUCAGUAGCUGAUGUGAGAGCAUGAUCAGCCACACGGGCACUGAGACACGGGCCCGACUCCUACGGGAGGCAGCAGUAAGGAAUAUUGGACAAUGGACGAAAGUCUGAUCCAGCCAUGCCGCGUGAAGGAUUAAGGUCCUCUGGAUUGUAAACUUCUUUUAUAUGGGACGAAAAAAGGGCAUUCUUGUUCACUUGACGGUACCAUAUGAAUAAGCACCGGCUAACUCCGUG
rnacentral:rRNA from 1 species